rnacentral:rRNA from 1 species
GGGGAAUCUUGGACAAUGGACGAAAGUCCGAUCCAGCGACACCGCGUGGGGGAUGAAGGCUUUCGGGUCGUAAACCCCUUUUCUGGGGGAAGAAUAAGGUUGGGAGGAAAUGCCCAUCCGAUGACGGUACCCCAGGAAUAAGCAUCGGCAAAGUUCGUGCCAGCAGCCGCGGUAAGACGAGGGAUGCGAGCGUUAUCCGGAAUUACUGGGCGUAAAGGGCGUGUAGGCGGUUGGAUAAGUCAUUUGUGAAAGCCCAGGGCUUAACCCUGGAAGGUCUUGUGAUACUGUCCGGCUUGGGUGUAGGAGAGGAGAGCGGAACUCACAGAGUAGCGGUGGAAUGCGUAGAUACUGUGAGGUACCCCGAUGGCGAAGGCAGCUCUCUGGCCUACUACCGACGCUGAAGCGCGAAAGCGUGGGGAGCAAAGGGGAUUAGAUACCCCAGUAGUC